rnacentral:rRNA from 1 species
UACGAAGGGGGGCUAGCGUUGCUCGGAAUUACUGGGCGUAAAGCGCACGUAGGCGGAUUGUUAAGUCGGGGGUGAAAUCCUGGAGCUCAACUCCAGAACUGCCUUCGAUACUGGCGAUCUCGAGUCGGGAGAGGUGAGUGGAACUGCGAGUGUAGAGGUGAAAUUCGUAGAUAUUCGCAAGAACACCAGUGGCGAAGGCGGCUCACUGGCCCGAUACUGACGCUGAGGUGCGAAAGUGUGGGGAGCAAACAGG